GAACCUGCCGAGAGGAGGGAGAAAAAAAACCUACAUUAAACCCAGGAAAGGUUGGCCACGUGUGGGCGGGUCUUGGAAGUCAAGUGGAUGAAGACAGUGUUUGCAGAUGUGAAAUUGCGGGUUUUGGGCGAGCUCCGAGCUUCCACCAUUGGUGAUGAGUGGACAUGGGAAAGGACGGAGAGAGGCAAAGAAGGGGUUCCUUUCCAAGGGAAGGCCAGCACCCCAGGUGUCACCACGCUCGCACACAGCCGCACUUGGCCCCGGCUCCGCGGAGCCCGCAGCAUGCCCGGCCGCGGGUCCCGCGGAGAAGCUCUGGGGGCUCGCCUGGCCUGCUGCAGGAUGCAGCGACCCCCACACACACACACUUCUCUCUGUCUGCCACCAACUUUUAUUUUAAUUUCCCUUCUUCCUUCGUCCUGUUCUCUGCACCCGCCGAGAAGCAUUGGCCGUGUACACACUCAUGGGGCAGGAUCUGGAUCGUUUUCCCUUU